rnacentral:tRNA from 1 species
GGGGGUACAGCUCGUGAUAGAGUGCAUGCUUAGCAUGCACGAGGUCCUGGGUUCAAUCCCCAGUACCUCCA